rnacentral:rRNA from 1 species
AUUGAACGCUGGCGGCAUGCCUUACACAUGCAAGUCGAACGGCAGCACGGGGCAACCUGGUGGCGAGUGGCGAACGGGUGAGUAAUACAUCGGAACGUGCCCAAUCGUGGGGGAUAACGUAGCGAAAGUUACGCUAAUACCGCAUACGAUCUACGGAUGAAAGCGGGGGAUCGCAAGACCUCGCGCGAAUGGAGCGGCCGAUGUCAGAUUAGGUAGUUGGUGGGGUAAAGGCUCACCAAGCCAACGAUCUGUAGCUGGUCUGAGAGGACGACCAGCCACACUGGGACUGAGACACGGCCCAGACUCCUACGGGAGGCAGCAGUGGGGAAUUUUGGACAAUGGGCGCAAGCCUGAUCCAGCCAUUCCGCGUGCAGGUUGAAGGCCUUCGGGUUGUAAACUGCUUUUGUACGGAACGAAACGGUUCUCUCUAAUACAGGGGGCUAAUGACGGUACCGUAAGAAUAAGCACCGGCUAACUACGUGCCAGCAGCCGCGGUAAUAC